rnacentral:rRNA from 1 species
CUACGGGGCGCUGCAGUGGGGAAUAUUGGACAAUGGGGGAACCCUGAUGCAGCAACGCCGCGUGGAGGAUGACGCAUUUCGGUGUGUAAACUCCUUUUAUAUGUCAAGAAAAUGACGGUAGCAUAUGAAUAAGCACCGGCUAACUCCGUGCCAGCAGCCGCGGUAAUACGGAGGGUGCAAGCGUUACUCGGAAUCACUGGGCGUAAAGGACGCGUAGGCGGGUUGGAAAGUCAGGUGUGAAAUCCUACAGCUUAACUGUAGAACUGCACUUGAAACUUCUAAUCUAGAGUAUGGGAGGGGGAGAUGGAAUUCGUGGUGUAGGGGUAAAAUCCGUAGAUAUCACUAGGAAUACCUAAAGCGAAGGCGAUCUCCUGGAACAUUACUGACGCUAAGGCGUGAAAGCGUGGGGAGCAAACAGGAUUAGAUACCCGAGUAGUC